rnacentral:lncRNA from 1 species
GUUUGAUAUAUAUGACAUAUUUAAAGGUUGAUUGUCGUGCUAAUGAACAAAUAUUGUAUUUACUUGAAAUAUAAAACUUAUUUUGCGUUGUUGUGCAUGAUUUUGACUUGUAAUGUAUUAGGUUGAACGUAUUUUGAAUAUGUUCUUUUGAAGUAUUGAAUAAUAUUUUAGAAUACUGAAUUUUGAGAGCUAUGUAUUAAUUUUUAUUUUUAAAAUCGAGUCAAACCAAGCCGAGCCGUGCCAGCUCGGUUUAAAACCAAGCCGAGCCCGAGCUUAGACUUUCAGCUCGGUUUCAAAUCUGUGCCGAGCUGAGCCAGCUCGGUUUAUAAUCGAGCCGAGCCCGAGCUUGCCCUAGCUCGGCUCGGUUCAUGAACAGCCCUAAACUAUAUAGUAAUAUUGCGUUUUUUAUAUUUUACCAAGACUCGCGUUAACUUGUUGACCCGAACCGAAUCUGACCCGUUGACCAGGUUUGACCAUGUUGACUCGCUUUGACCGAGUUUGACUUGUUGACCCGAACCUGAGUCGAGACCCGAAUCCCAAACUGAAAAACCGAGUCCCCCUUGAUCCAUGUAAACCCAAGCCAACCCGACCCAACCCAAACCGUCCACUACCGGCCUGGAGCCGCCGGCUGCGGCGUCGCACCACCACCCUGCCCCCCUCUGGCGGCUCCCCUCUGCUGCCGUCAUCCCCACUUCAGCCACCUCGACAUCACCACGCCGGCCACCACCAUUACCGACAACCCAAACACCACUAAAAAGAAAAAAAAAACAAAAGAAGAAGCUUUAAGUGAGCCAGAUCUAAACAGAUCUAAGCUUAGAAAGUGGAGGAGAUUAACUUACCCGCGACGAACUCAUGAGACAGGCUACCAGAGCUCGAAAUCGCGACCUCUGUUGCUCGGGGUACGCCUUGGUUCUGCUGUGA